GAACUCUGGUAUUGAUUGGUGCUUGCAUCAUGAUUUACAUUUGAGUGAGUGGCGAACUGGUGAGUAACACGUGGGAAACCUGCCCAGAAGCGGGGGAUAACACCUGGAAACAGAUGCUAAUACCGCAUAACAACUUGGACCGCAUGGUCCGAGUUUGAAAGAUGGCUUCGGCUAUCACUUUUGGAUGGUCCCGCGGCGUAUUAGCUAGAUGGUGGGGUAACGGCUCACCAUGGCAAUGAUACGUAGCCGACCUGAGAGGGUAAUCGGCCACAUUGGGACUGAGACACGGCCCAAACUCCUACGGGAGGCAGCAGUAGGGAAUCUUCCACAAUGGACGAAAGUCUGAUGGAGCAACGCCGCGUGAGUGAAGAAGGGUUUCGGCUCGUAAAACUCUGUUGUUAAAGAAGAACAUAUCUGAGAGUAACUGUUCAGGUAUUGACGGUAUUUAACCAGAAAGCCACGGCUAACUACGUGCCAGCAGCCGCGGUAAUACGUAGGUGGCAAGCGUUGUCCGGAUUUAUUGGGCGUAAAGCGAGCGCAGGCGGUUUUUUAAGUCUGAUGUGAAAGCCUUCGGCUCAACCGAAGAAGUGCAUCGGAAACUGGGAAACUUGAGUGCAGAAGAGGACAGUGGAACUCCAUGUGUAGCGGUGAAAUGCGUAGAUAUAUGGAAGAACACCAGUGGCGAAGGCGGCUGUCUGGUCUGUAACUGACGCUGAGGCUCGAAAGUAUGGGUAGCAAACAGGAUUAGAUACCCUGGUAGUCCAUACCGUAAACGAUGAAUGCUAAGUGUUGGAGGGUUUCCGCCCUUCAGUGCUGCAGCUAACGCAUUAAGCAUUCCGCCUGGGGAGUACGGCCGCAAGGCUGAAACUCAAAGGAAUUGACGGGGGCCCGCACAAGCGGUGGAGCAUGUGGUUUAAUUCGAAGCUACGCGAAGAACCUUACCAGGUCUUGACAUACUAUGCAAAUCUAAGAGAUUAGACGUUCCCUUCGGGGACAUGGAUACAGGUGGUGCAUGGUUGUCGUCAGCUCGUGUCGUGAGAUGUUGGGUUAAGUCCCGCAACGAGCGCAACCCUUAUUAUCAGUUGCCAGCAUUAAGUUGGGCACUCUGGUGAGACUGCCGGUGACAAACCGGAGGAAGGUGGGGAUGACGUCAAAUCAUCAUGCCCCUUAUGACCUGGGCUACACACGUGCUACAAUGGAUGGUACAACGAGUUGCGAACUCGCGAGAGUAAGCUAAUCUCUUAAAGCCAUUCUCAGUUCGGAUUGUAGGCUGCAACUCGCCUACAUGAAGUCGGAAUCGCUAGUAAUCGCGGAUCAGCAUGCCGCGGUGAAUACGUUCCCGGGCCUUGUACACACCGCCCGUCACACCAUGAGAGUUUGUAACACCCAAAGUCGGUGGGGUAACCUUUUAGGAACCAGCCGCCUAAGGUGGGAC
rnacentral:rRNA from 1 species